rnacentral:lncRNA from 1 species
GCAAACCCGUGCCGCUCACGUUUCUCACCGAGUGGCUUGUUUCUGCUCUGGAUCUGUGACUCAUGCAGAAACCCAAAUGGAAUCAUCUUGCAGUAGUUGAAAGUGCUUCCUCUGAAGAUACCAGGUCAAUGCCCAUGCAAACCGUUUCCAGAUCUGCCAGCAAGACUGCUCUUCCUGGGAAAGGUUUUCAUUGAGUUGGAAGCAAGGUUCCUGACUCUCAAGUGUACAGUGUGACCCAUUUAGAGGCAUAUGUCUAAUGUAUACCGUGAAUGCUAUGAGGCCUGUCGAGAUGGCUCAGCAGUUAAGAGCACUGACUGUUCUUCCAGAGGUCCUGAGUUCAAUUCCCAGCAACCACAUGGUGGCUCACAACCAUCUACAAUGUGAUCUGAUGCCCUCUUCUGGUGUGACUGAAAACAGUAACAGUGUACUCAUAUACAUGAAAUAAAUAAAUAAAUCUUAAAAAAAAAAAAAAAAA